UCGUACAACGGAGGUGCGAGGGCUGUCGCUGACCUUUAAUGGUUGUGCACGCUCUAGCACUCUCUCACAUCCAUCUCACCCCUUUGUGCAUUGCCGCGUGGGCCCCCUCUUUGCGGAGAGGGUCUGCGUUUUCACAUAAAACUCGAUACUGUGUAGAAUGUCUUUUUGCGGUCACACGCAAUCAAUA
rnacentral:misc_RNA from 1 species